AUACGGAGGAUGCAAGCGUUAUCCGGAUUUAUUGGGUUUAAAGGGUGCGUAGGCGGUUUGCUAAGCGGGAGGUGAAAUGCCGGCGCUCAACGUCGGAAGUGCCUCCCGAACUGGUGGACUGGAAUGACUCUGCCGUGGGAGGAAUGUGUAGUGUAGCGGUGAAAUGCUUAGAGAUUACACAGAACACCGAUUGCGAAGGCAUCUCACGAAGGGUUGAUUGACGCUGAGGCACGAAAGCGUGGGGAUCAAACAGGACUAGAUACCCUGGUAGUCCACGCAGUAAACGAUGAUGGCUAACCGCUGGUUUAUUCGGAUCAGUGGCCAAGCGAAAGCGAUAAGCCAUCCACCUGGGGAGUACGACCGCAAGGUUGAAACUCAAAUGAAUUGGCGGGG
rnacentral:rRNA from 1 species